ACCCACUAGUUGCCGAAUAUAGCGGCGUAACCUAUGGCUCCUGCUACGUCAGUCCAUAUUACAGGGGAAUUGUCAGAAAUGGGUGGAAAGAAUAAGGAUCUGCCGUUCCAAGCUGGUUCGUCUAAAAUAGUUCUAGAGUCGUCGUCCGGAAGACAGUGUAGAAGAGAAAGUAUUCUAGAGAUGAAGGCCCUUCCUUGAGGCUAGCUUGCAUGGAUUCUGAGUUUAGUGUAAUACCCAAGAAAGUUAUUUCAGUGCUGGGACCCUCUGUUUUGUCCGGGGCUAACAGACACUCACUCACAUUAACACACUCACUUUUUUUUUAUUUAACCCCCCCCCAGCCUCCUUACCUUUGGGAAUGCUGGGGGGGGGGGGUUCUCCCUUUCCCUGGGGUCUAGUGGGGCUGCUGGUGAGGUAGCACUUUACUCUGAGCGCUCUGCUCCCUCGCGCUCCGUAGAGUGAUGCUGGGAGCCAGAAUAGGACGUCAUAUUCCGGCUCCCGGCAUCACUCUGUGCCGCGUGAGGGAGCUGAGCAGAGCGCUCAGGGGAAAAUGCUCCUUCGCCAGCACCGCCCGACUGACUGCCCGCCUGCCUGGCUUGUCAGUUAGCCGCAAGGCUAACAAGACAUUUGCCCUGGGCAUUUGGGGGCGGCUUUUUUUGCCGCCCCCUGGAAAAUGCCGCGUAAGGCAAAUUACUUGUUUGCCUUGCUGCUAAAACGUCCCUGGAUGCAAGGUGUGUGUCUCUAAAGGGUGCAUUGAGGGUGUGUGUAAGAGAUGCAUUGUGUUUCUGUGUAUGUGUGCAAGGGAUGCAUUGAGGGUGUAUGUAAUGGAUGCAUUGUAUGUCUCUCUGUGUGCAAGGGAAGCAAGGUGUGUUUUUGUGUAUGUGUGCAAGGGAAGCAUGGUGUGUUUCUGUGUGUGCAAGGGAAGCAUGGUGUGUUUCUGUGUGUGUAGGGAUGCAUUGUGCGUUUCUGUGUGUGUAGGGAUGCAUUGUGCGUUUCUGUGUAUGUAUAGGGAAGCAUUGUGUAGUGUGAAAGAGAGAGUUUGUAGGGUAGGAUAGGGGCCCUUCCUCAGUCUCUCCCCUCUUGUCCCUUACUGCUCUCCCCUCUUGUCCCUUACUGCUCUCCCCUCUUGUCCCUUAGAACUCUCCCCUCCUGUCUCUUAGUGCUCUCCACUGCCCCACUGUCCCUUAGUGAUCUCCCUUUCCCAUAGUUCUCUCUUCGUUCUUCGUCCCUUAGAGUUCUCUCCUACCCCCACCAUCAUCCCUUGGUGCUCCCCUCCAUCCCUUAGGGCUCUCUCCUACCUCCCCCUCCCCAUAGAGCUCUCCCUUGCAUCCCAUUGAGCUCUC